rnacentral:rRNA from 1 species
UCGAACGAGAGCGACCGGUGCUUGCACUGGUCAAUCUAGUGGCGAACGGGUGAGUAACACGUGGGUAACCUGCCCAUCAGAGGGGGAUAACAUCCGGAAACGGAUGCUAAAACCGCAUAGGUCUUCGAGCCGCAUGGCUUGAAGAGGAAAAGAGGCGCAAGCUUCUGCUGAUGGAUGGACCCGCGGUGCAUUAGCUAGUUGGUGAGGUAACGGCUCACCAAGGCCGUGAUGCAUAGCCGACCUGAGAGGGUGAUCGGCCACAUUGGGACUGAGACACGGCCCAAACUCCUACGGGAGGCAGCAGUAGGGAAUCUUCGGCAAUGGACGAAAGUCUGACCGAGCAACGCCGCGUGAGUGAAGAAGGUUUUCGGAUCGUAAAACUCUGUUGUUAGAGAAGAACAAGGACGUUAGUAACUGAACGUCCCCUGACGGUAUCUAACCAGAAAGCCACGGCUAACUACGUGCCAGCAGCCGCGGUAAUACGUAGGUGGCAAGCGUUGUCCGGAUUUAUUGGGCGUAAAGCGAGCGCAGGCGGUUUCUUAAGUCUGAUGUGAAAGCCCCCGGCUCAACCGGGGAGGGUCAUUGGAAACUGGGAGACUUGAGUGCAGAAGAGGAGAGUGGAAUUCCAUGUGUAGCGGUGAAAUGCGUAGAUAUAUGGAGGAACACCAGUGGCGAAGGCGGCUCUCUGGUCUGUAACUGACGCUGAGGCUCGAAAGCGUGGGGAGCAAACAGG